UAUCUCUGUGUGUGUGUGCGCAUGCAUAUCUCCAUUUGUGUGUGUGCAUGCAUGCAUAUCUGUGUGUGUGUAUGUGUGUGUUCGCGCAUGCAUAUCUCUGUGUGUGCGUGCAUGUAUAUCUCUGUGUGUAUGCGCGCAUGCAUAUCUCUGUGUGCGCGCACAUGCAUAUCUCUGUGUGUGUGUGUGUGUACACACAUUCGUAUCUCUGUGUGUGUGUGUGUGUGUGUGUUCGCGCGUUCGUGUGUGUGUGUGUGCGCACAUACAUAUCUCUGUGUGUGUGUGUGCGCGCGUUUGUGCAUGUGUGCUGGGAUGUAACAAUAUGCUCUCUAUACUCAGAGAAGUUGGGAUAGAUAUGGAAAUCAAUAGAGCAAGGCCAAGGUCCUGACCCUCUCCACCGCAGUAUCCUGGGCUUUCUAAGGUGAUGGUCUCAAGGUCCUGACCCUCUCCACUGCAGUAUCCAGGGCUUUCUAAGGUGAUGGUCUCAAGGUCCUGACCCUCUCCACCGCAGUAUCCUGGGCUUUCUAAGGUGAUGGUCUCAAGGUCCUGACCCUCUCCACCGCAGUAUCCUGGGCUUUCUAAGGUGAUGGUCUCAAGGUCCUGACCCUCUCCACCGCAGUAUCCUGGGCUUUCUAAGGUGAUGGUCUCAAGAGCCAGUUGAGAAAAGUACUGUAACACGGCCUCGGUCAGUAAGAGCUUCAUUUCUUUGGCCAGAACUCAUUUGAAAAAGAUGUAAGGGAAAAGGAAAUAGAAUUUCCUGAGUACACACCAGACCUUUC
rnacentral:lncRNA from 1 species